UACGGGGGGAGCAAGCGUUGUUCGGAUUUACUGGGCGUAAAGGGCGCGUAGGCGGCGUAACAAGUCGCUUGUGAAAUCUCCGGGCUUAACCCGGAGCGGCCAAGUGAUACUGUUGUGCUAGAGUGCAGAAGGGGCAACUGGAAUUCUCGGUGUAGCGGUGAAAUGCGUAGAUAUCGAGAGGAACACCUGCGGCGAAGGCGGGUUGCUGGGCUGACACUGACGCUGAGGCGCGAAAGCCAGGGGAGCGAACGGG
rnacentral:rRNA from 1 species